rnacentral:siRNA from 1 species
CAGCGCACGGUAGCUUCGCGCCA